rnacentral:lncRNA from 1 species
ACUGCUUGGGCAAAGUCUUGGGGGCUAGUGGGCGGGGUACUGGACACUGUGACUUGAGUGGUACCCCCUUCGCUGAGGCCUGUGGUUUUGGCCACCACUUUUCUUUGACAGCUGGGCUUCCUGUAUACCCUCAUCCCAGUGUCUUCCUCCCUCAGGACUCGCCACACUCACCCACCCUCCUUCUCAUUUUUCAGCACAAGGCCAAUCAGCCCCCCCACGGUGUCCCCCAACUCUCUCUCUACGAACAUUUCAACAGCCCACAUCCCACCCCUGCACCUGCGGACAUCAGCCAGAAGCAAGUUCACAGGCCUCUGCAGACCCCUGACCUCUCUGGCUUCUACUCCCUGACCUCAGGCAGCAUGGGGCAGCUCCCCCACACUGUGAGCUGGUGAGUGUGGGCCCAAUGGGAAAGGGGUACCGUGUGCUGGUCAGACCAAGACCUGCCUGCCCUUCCAUUUCCUCCUCCAUCCCUCUUGGCUGGCCACCCUGCUGCCAGCUCUGUUUAGAUGCCAGGGGCUGGCCAGCAACUCUGUCCUAACCUGGCUCUGAGCUAGGGGUCCUCAUGUACCCCGGCCUGCAUUCCCCAGGGAGCCUGACAUACU